rnacentral:rRNA from 1 species
UGGCUCAGGACGAACGCUGGCGGCGUGCCUAAUACAUGCAAGUCGAACGGUCUUUUCUAUGGAAGCUUGCUUCCACUGAGAAGAUAGUGGCGAACGGGUGAGUAACACGUGGGUAACCUGCCCAUAAGAGGGGGGUAACAUCCGGAAACGGGUGCUAAUACCGCAUAGUUUUCUUGAUCGCAUGAUUGAGAAAGGAAAGACGGCCUUUGUGCUGUCGCUUAUGGAUGGACCCGCGGCGUAUUAGUUAGUUGGUGAGGUAACGGCUCACCAAGACGAUGAUACGUAGCCGACCUGAGAGGGUGAUCGGCCACAUUGGGACUGAGACACGGCCCAAACUCCUACGGGAGGCAGCAGUAGGGAAUCUUCCGCAAUGGACGAAAGUCUGACGGAGCAACGCCGCGUGAGUGAAAGAAGGUUUUCGGAUCGUAAAACUCUGUUGUCAGAGAAGAACAAGUUGGAGAGUAACUGCUCCAGCCUUGACGGUAUCUGACCAGAAAGCCACGGCUAACUACGUGCCAGCCGCCGC